UACGGAGGGUGCAAGCGUUGUUCGGAAUUAUUGGGCGUAAAGCGCGUGUAGGCGGUCGGGUAAGUCAGAUGUGAAAGCCUUCUGCUUAACAGAAGAAGUGCAUUUGAAACUGCCCGGCUAGAGUACGGGAGAGGAGAGUGGAAUUCCCGGUGUAGAGGUGAAAUUCGUAGAUAUCGGGAGGAACACCAGUGGCGAAGGCGGCUCUCUGGUCCGAUACUGACGCUGAGACGCGAAAGCGUGGGGAGCAAACAGG
rnacentral:rRNA from 1 species